rnacentral:lncRNA from 1 species
CUCCCACAUGAAAAAAGCUGAAAAGACUCCCCGAUGGCCAAUAGGGGCAACAAUUACAAGAGCAAGAAAGGGGACGCCACCCCCCACCUCCCCGGCCCGUGUUUUCCAGCUGGGCUGGGCUCGCCAGGAUAAACAGCCACCAAAAUAAUCACAGUUGCUUGCCACUUGGAAUAUUAUUAUCUGAACAGUUGGUGGAUAUGAACUGUUUUUGAAACAAGCUAUCAAAACAAAGCCGGGGAGAACAUCUGCGAGGCCGGCCGUGAGUCGCUGAGGAAGGAAGCCCGUAACCCAUCCGCCUCUCCUCUCCAUCAGACCUGGGGCGAGGCCGAGGCACCUGAACUUCCCGGAGGGAAAGUCUGCGGCCCGAGGCGCUGGGUGCCGGCGACCCACUGUCCCGCGCAGCCUUCUUUCCUUCGCGACCUGGGGCCUGGAGCAGCUUUCAAAACAACAUUCUUCAGACGCUCUCCCCAGGGUUUUGUCUGUAGUUUUCGUGAGGGGCGAUUUCUUUCUUUUUUUUUUUUUUUUUUUUAGACUAGGAACAGGAUUUCCACAGGCGGAAUUUCUUCCUUCCCUUUGUUCCACUCCACUUAUCCCCAAAAUAAAACUUACGGGGGCUCCCCUGACUCUCUCUUCUUCCCGCCGGCACCGGGUG